CAGCUGUCUCCACUUUCCUGUGUAUUUAUUGUCUCAGUCUUGCCUUGUUCUUGGUUGUGUUCUCUCCUGCUGUGUCUUCCAUGUUUCUCUGGUAGCUUCCAAGUUUUUCUAGUUCUCAGUUUCUAGUUUUGAUUUUUUUUUUUUCCCAUCUACUCAAAGCGCUUUACAUUUCAAGGUAAAGACACUACAAUGAUAAAGAGAAAACCACAACAAUCAGACGACCCCCUGUGAGCGAGGACUUGGCAACAGCGGAAAGGAAAAACGCCAUUUUAACAGGAAGACUCCUCAGGCGCUGCAGACAUCAUCAGAAUGUCUGCCAACAGCAGCACGAGUGUCGUGCUGCCAUCAGGCCUGCAGGGGGACCCGAGGACGCGCGGGUACGAUGUCAGGUGGACUCAGAUCCCUCACCUGCUGCUGAACUGGAACCGGAGCACGUGCUCCCACGGACGCUGCUCGAUGCUCCCUGACGGCUCGCUUGAGUUCAGCCGACUUCAGACCCAAGACUCCGGAAGCUACACGCUGGAGGUGUUUGACAAGACUGGGUCGAGACUGCAGACCAAAGACUUCCUGCUGCAGGUGACAGUUCCCUGCAGUCCUACAGUUUCCUCCCAGCAUGAAGACAGUGUGUACGUGUGAGGACCAAUCAGAGCCCAGCGUGUCUGCUCUGUAUGGAAGCCUUUGAGAGACUUUAUUAAUUGGAGAUAAACUAUCUGAAUUUCAGGAGCAGGACCACGCCUCCAAACACGCCCCUUCCUGUUCUUACCUAUAUUUGACCCCCCAGCUCUACAACCCCCCCU
ensembl:lncRNA